rnacentral:rRNA from 1 species
GGGUCGCGAGACCUAUCUUUUCUUCAGCUGUGCGCUCCGGCUGCACGUUGUUGAAAUCCCAACCUUCACACCUGUGAACCUCUCGGGGGCGCAUCGCGCUUCCGCUUUACAUGUAACACGUUAAGUUUAGAAUGAUAUGAUACUAUAAAGUAACAACUUUCAACAACGGAUCUCUUGGCUCUCGCAUCGAUGAAGAACGCAGCGAAAUGCGAUAAGUAAUGUGAAUUGCAGAAUUCAGUGAAUCAUCGAAUCUUUGAACGCAUCUUGCGCUCCGUGGUAUUCCGCGGAGCAUGCCUGUUUGAGUGUCACGUAAACCUUCACCCUUCGGAUCGUUGACUCGGUYUGUCGAGGUGGAUUUGGACUGUGCCGUAGUAGGCUCGUCUUGAAAUAUAUUAGCUUGCGCUUUUUAGAGUGCCCGGCACCGGUGUGAUAAUUAUCUGCGCCACAGCCCAAGGACCUCUUCAGUGGUGCUGCUUAUAGUCGUCCUUGCGGACAAUAUACUUUAAAGCUUUGGCCUCAAAUCAGGUAGGACUACCCGCUGAACUUAAGCAUAUCAAUAAGCGGAGGAAAAGAAACUAACAAGGAUUCCCCUAGUAACGGCGAGUGAAGCGGGAAGAGCUCAAAUUUGAAAUCUGGCGGUCUCAGGCCGUCCGAGUUGUAAUCUAGAGAGGUGUUUUCCGUGCCGGACCGCGUACAAGUCCCUUGGAACAGGGCGUCAUAGAGGGUGAGAAUCCCGUCCGUGACGUGGACUACCGGUGCUCUGUGAUACACCUUCAAAGAGUCGAGUUGUUUGGGAAUGCAGCUCAAAAUGGGUGGUAAAU